CCUACGGGGGGCUGCAGUAGGGAAUAUUGCGCAAUGGACGGAAGUCUGACGCAGCGACGCCGCGUGAGCGAUGAAGGCCUUCGGGUCGUAAAGCUCUGUCCUUGGGGAAGAAGGUCUUCGGACUUGACGGUACCCAAGAAGAAAGCCCCGGCUAACUACGUGCCAGCAGCCGCGGUAAUACGUAGGGGGCGAGCGUUGUCCGGAAUUACUGGGCGUAAAGGGUGCGUAGGCGGCCCUUUAAGUCAGAUGUGAAAGGCCACGGCUUAACCGUGGGAUUGCAUUUGAAACUGGAGGGCUUGAGUGUCGGAGAGGGUAGUGGAAUUCCCAGUGUAGCGGUGAAAUGCGUAGAUAUUGGGAGGAACACCAGUGGCGAAGGCGACUACCUGGACGAUAACUGACGCUGAGGCACGAAAGCUAGGGGAGCAAACAGGAUUAGAUACCCCUGUAGUC
rnacentral:rRNA from 1 species